rnacentral:sRNA from 2 species
GAUGAGAACCUCCGGGGGCAGGAGGUUCGACCCGAGCGAAGCGAGAGAACGUUGCGUCAGCAACGGCCCGCAGGGCGAGCCACGCAGUGGCGAGUCAUCCUCUAUCACCGACCA